rnacentral:rRNA from 1 species
AUUGAACGCUGGCGGCAUGCCUUACACAUGCAAGUCGAACGGUAACAGGUCUUCGGAUGCUGACGAGUGGCGAACGGGUGAGUAAUACAUCGGAACGUGCCUAGUAGUGGGGGAUAACCACUCGAAAGAGUGGCUAAUACCGCAUGAGAUCUACGGAUGAAAGCAGGGGAACGCAAGACCUUGUGCUACUAGAGCGGCCGAUGGCAGAUUAGGUAGUUGGUGGGAUAAAAGCUUACCAAGCCGACGAUCUGUAGCUGGUCUGAGAGGACGAUCAGCCACACUGGGACUGAGACACGGCCCAGACUCCUACGGGAGGCAGCAGUGGGGAAUUUUGGACAAUGGGCGCAAGCCUGAUCCAGCAAUGCCGCGUGCAGGAUGAAGGCCUUCGGGUUGUAAACUGCUUUUGUACGGAACGAAAAGCCCCGGGUUAAUACCCUGGGGUCAUGACGGUACCGUAAGAAUAAGCACCGGCUAACUACGUGCCAGCCGCCGCCGUAA